CAUGGUAACAUUUUUACGCACAAAAGUUACAAAUGCUAGAUCAGUUCGAAGUCUCAAAUUCAAUGUACAGCAUGUAGCAGCGACAUAUUUUGGAACACUCAUCCCACUUUAGUACUUGCUAUGAACGCUACAGAAUCAACAUGAUGGCUGAGCAAAUAGAAAAUCACCCCAAAGUUCAA
rnacentral:lncRNA from 1 species